ACAGUAAAGAAAAUUAAUCACAGUUUCUUUCAAAAAUAUAAAAUUACUAAAAUUGAUUGUAUAUUUUUGAAUAAAAUCGAUUAAAAAAUUCUUUUAAUGACAUAUAAGACAACGCGGCCUCUAAAAGAAUAAAAUUAAUUGAAUUUUGUGGAAGCGGCUACUAUGUAGCGGCAACAAAUGUAAUUUUACUAGAAAAUGAAAGACGAGACGAAAAUGAAGGAAGAGCAGUUACGGGAGAAGGGGCAUGAUCUCUUUCUUUUGCUUCAUGGACGCCCACGGGACUAGGCACUGAAUAAAGAAAGUCGGUUUUCCCCCAUACCUAUGCGUUGAGUUUUUCCGAAUACCUGCGCAUUUAAUUUUUUCUAAUUUGAACCACAUGUGUGACGGGAGAGAGUCCCUCCUACAUGUACCUUAUAACAGAAUUAUGGAUCUUUGUUACAAAAAUUCAAAUUUUAUUUUUAUUUUACAUGUAUUUCAUGAUAUAUAUUUAAAGCAUGUACACAUAAGAAUUAAUUAGAUAAUAGCUAGUAUUGCAUACUUGUAACGAGAGAUAUUCUUAAAUAAAAUAAAUUAAAAACGAUUCUUUAAAAUAACGAAUAUCAAACAAUGAGGCCUGUAGAGAGUUAAAAUUAAUUAAGUUCUAUGUAAACGAUCACUGUACAGACGCAUAUACCGAUAUUUGAUUCAACAUGCAAUUUUAAACAAAGUUUUGUUAAUGAGACUUUCAAAAACAAUUUCAUAUAUCAAAAUACUGCUAUUAUCUAAUUAAUUCUUAUAUGUAUACAUGUAUAAUAAAAUACAUACAGAAGAAUAAAUACAUUUCACAAAAAUGUUUUAUGAGCGUAUCGGGUCGUAAAUUUUUUUCGCGAUGAAAAAUUGAAAAUUUCCGAUCUGUCUGGGAAGGGAGACAACGUUAGGUAACGACUAUAACUCUUAUAAGAAUGUUAUUGUUACUAUCGUUUCUCGGGCUUCAGAUUGUUCUUUUAUUUGAAAGCCGGGAGAACGCACACACGGACAUUUGCAGGUGUGUGCAUGCUAUUGGGGAAUUCUCGCUCUCCCCUCCCUCCCCAGGGCUGACCCUGUCAAGGGUGGAGCUAAAAUAAGGGUGGUGCCUCUCGUAGCUUACGUAUCCCAUCGGGAAUCGGUGUUGGUUAGGAUGAGCAAGGGUAAGGUAAAGCAGAACGAGACUGGUCUAGCGGCAAGAAGGACAGCGAGUCGUUCCGAAAUGAAUGCGCCCUUAGCCGAGAGUUUAACGCGGGACAUACGAGCAGGCCGUUUUUUGCGUUUGCACGUCGUCUCGUUAACAUCGGUAGAUUCGCUUACAACCGAUCGCGGUGAUUUCGGUCUCUACGAACCGCGACGAAAUAUUGAUCGGGCAUUGAUCGAUUUAUUCUUCGAUUAAUAAAUAUUCGAUGUUCCAAAUCAAGUGGUUUAAAAGUCGCAGUAAAAGCCAGAUUCAGUUCCCUCUUCGCUCGGAACUGAUGAUCAAGUAGUUUCAACGUCGUCGGCGACACGUGCGAAAUAUUGUGAGAUCGUGUCUACGUGAUAUCGGAGUUUCAUUAGUCGCAAUAGAGAAAAUGCCGGUGAGGAUGGAACCUAUAAACAAUUACAAUUGUGAUAUCUUGAAAUCUAUGCCUCAUAUACAAGAGGAGAGAAAGAGAAUCAAAUGCAAACAAAGAAGUCUAAAAGGCGGCAGUUCUCCUACAGACACGCUGGACCUGAGCUCAAAUCACCACCACCACCACCACCACCACCACCAUCAUCAUCAUCAUCCUCUUCAUAUCAACAAUCACAGCAACAAUUCGAACGACAUCGUUAGCUCCACUACGUCUGCUGGCGCGCAGGAAACCGUGAUGAAAGAGAAAAGCAAAAACGCAGCGCGGUCGCGCCGCGUUAAGGAGAAUCAGGAGUUUCUGGAGCUGGCGAAGCUACUGCCACUUCCGGCCGCCAUUACUACGCAACUGGACAAGGCCAGCAUCAUCAGGCUGACCACCAGCUAUCUCAAGAUGAGAGCUGUCUUUCCUCAUGGUCUCGGAGAUGAAUGGGGUGCCGCGCCACCGCCCAACAAUCCCUUAGAGACCACCAUCAAGGAAUUGGGCUCGCAUCUUUUACAAACACUGGACGGCUUCAUUUUUGUCGUAGCACCGGAUGGGAAAAUUAUGUACAUAAGCGAGACAGCUAGCGUGCACUUAGGUUUGUCGCAGGUCGAAUUAACGGGAAACAGCAUAUUCGAGUACAUUUAUCCGGAUGAUCGCGACGAGAUGAUUUCCGUGCUGAAUCAACCGCCUGCGAAUCUCCCGGGUUUCAUAUACCCACCGCCGAAUUCGCGAGGUGAAAUCGAGCUGGAACGUGCCUUUCUCCUUAGGAUGAAGUGCAUUCUAGCGAAGAGGAACGCAGGCCUUGUUACGGAAGGAUACAAGGUCAUACACUGUUCCGGUUACUUAAAAUGUGUCAUGGAGGCUCCUAUCGGAACAGAAUAUGAAAACGGUGUUGGUUACCGUAAUGUCGGUCUAAUGGCGGUCGGCCAUUCAUUGCCGACAAGUUCGAUAACCGAAAUUAAAUUGCACCAUAACAUGUUCAUGUUCCGAGCGUCACUCGAUCUGAGGAUCAUAUUCAUCGAUUCGAGAGCAGCUCAGUUAACAGGCUACGAUCCCCCGGAUCUGAUUGACAAAACGCUAUACCACUACGUGCACGGAUGCGACAUUCUGCAAUUGCGACACGCUCAUCACGUUCUGUUACGCAAAGGUCAGGUGACAACGAGGUACUACAGGUUUCUGACAAAAAGUGGAGGGUGGGUAUGGAUGCAGUCAUACGUGACAAUUGUGCACAAUUCGCGAAGUUCGCGUCCGCAUUGCAUCGUGUCUGUGAAUUACGUGUUGACGGGCACCGAAAGCACCGGCCUAAUCAUGAGCUGCGACCAGAAGUCGUCCUGCUCGAGCCCGGGAAAUCCGCCGAGUGCCCCCGUGUCGACACCCGUCACGAUUGGCGCUAGUGACCUGGACAAUCACAGCCCGAGCCCGCCUUCUUAUCGCAGCCGGACCAAGGAGCCACCCGACACCGAAUACGCCGACAGUUCCGGCUAUCCGAACUCGGAGUACAUGGUGGGCUCGACCAAUCACAACCAUUACCUGUCGUCGUCGCCGUAUGCGUCGCACAGCAUCAACGGCGCGACCCACGAGGACAGCGCUUACUAUCCGGAUUUGUUUUACUCGUACAGUGACCUCCACCAAGACCCCGUGAACACCCUGCAGCAUCAACAAGACGCGCAUCAUCAUCAGCUCCUCCAUCACGCCACGUCUCUGACUAUUCAGCAGCACAGCCCGCAGAACAACCAGCAGAAACGGCAGCAUCCCCAGCACCUUCUGCACCAGGGCGCGACUUCUUUGACGUCUCUCGAGCAGCAGCAGCAGCAGCAACAACACAGUCCCCAGAGCGGCCAACAGAAGCGACCUUACUCGACGUCCUCGAGCUCCUGCGGUAGCGCCGACGGUCCAGAAGUGCACUUGACGAAUUCCCUGAGCCUUCUACCGUCGAGAUACCACUCGUCUCAUCAUCAUCACCAUAUCCCGCCGGAUUCGACGUCGUCGGCGACGUUGGAUGAGGCUGGCGGCGUAAUCAUGUACCCGAACUGCGGUUUUAACAACAACGACAGCUACAACGCCGCGGUGCUUCAGCACCACGACGGCUAUCAACAGGGUCAUCCUCAGGCUCACCACAGCAACGGAACGGUGAAGCACUCUCAUCAUCAUCUGGAAGCCUCGUCAGCUGGCUAUACAAGCGUCAUCGUCGAUUCUCAACAGUACAGUCCCAGCACCGUAUCUCAGGAGCUGCACGCACAUCAGACGGUGCCGGUGAGCAGCGGCACACCGCCGCUACAUCAUCAGUCUCAUUACGAAACGCAUCAUCAAUUUGUUCACUGACAUCAAUUCGAGGUGCCCUGCGCGUAGCACUUCGACGCCGCUUGCGACGACGAUGCGUGCGGGCAUCAUCAUCGUCAUCAUCAUCAUCAUCAUCAUCACCAUCACCAUCACCAACAGCAACGCCAUUGCGUAACGUCAGAGUGUGGUGAAGAACAGUACGCUGGACAUCAAACGAACAAUGAAUCUUACAAUUCUAUUGGGUCUCACGUUACUUACAUCACACCUUACAAAAGACUCUGGAAAAUGGAGGAACGAAGUACUUUAAGAGAUGAUUUCACGUAAAGAAAAGGAUUGCGGCAGAUCGACGUACCAUUUGUGAAAUAAGCUUUGAGAACCAUGUAAUCUUGAGCCUAAUUUUGACACACUGGUCAUAAUUCUAGAUUUUUACUCACAUUAUUACGUUAACCAUAAAAGAAUGAUUAUACAAUGAAUAAUCCGAUGAUAGACACAGCAAUGUGGCAGCGGUGGUCAAAGAACUUUGAUUCCAACAUUCUCUAGCGUAAUAAAUACUUUAAUAAAUGCUAUUGAAAUAAAAAUACGAUGAUAAUCCAUACACAAUAUCUACUGUUAUUGUUUUUUUCAGAUUCAUUUUUUAAUUUUAAUGUCAUCUUUAAACCUAAAAACUUAAAGGAAUUAAUUUCAAUUGUAUUGUAACGUCAUCGCGAUAUAACCCAGACAGCACACAACGUUUUAAAAACGUAUUAAAAAUGUACGUAAUGGAUGUUCCAUACAUAUUUAAAACAUCCAAAUCCGAUCCUUAAACAUCUUUAGAACAUUUUAAAAACACCCCGUGAUACUUUUCUGGACAUCUGAAAAAUGUUUAUUUUAAGUACUAAACGGAUGAAAAUUAGAUCUAUUUCGACCAUUUAAAUAAAUAUUUUUGAAAAUUGUCACGUGUAGGUAGAUUAUUUGUUUUUAAUACAAAUCGAAGUUAAUUUGUUAGCAAUUUAUUAAUUAUACAAAAUAUACUAAUAAAUUAAUAGAGUUAUUCUGUAACUUUUAAUGAUCUUAAAGUUCUGUAUUGUCAUUGCACAAAUAUUAAUUUGUUAUUAUAUUAUGUGCAGUUAAUAAAUUGCUAAGAAAUUAACUUCAAGUUGCAUUAAAAACGUAUAUUCCACCUACAUCUUUAAAAAAAUUAUUUUAAUGAUAGAAAUAGAUCCAAUUUUAGACUGUUUAGUUCUUAAAUAUACAACACAUAUUUUAAAAGCAAUUUCUGAUUGUUAACAGAUCGUAUUAAUAAAACAAACGAUUAAAAAAAUUCAACAUUGUUGUGACGUUUCAACUACAAAAAUGUGCAAUAAAAAUUAGGCAUCUUAUUGAAAUAAUUUCAGAUGAUUUUAAUACAAUCUUUAUAUUAUUAUUCAAGAUUAAGAGGCGCAUUUAUUCUUUUUGUUUAUUCUUUAUCUCGCUUUAUCGGGACAACGGAAAGAUGAUACAGCUAAAGUCCAUAAGCUCAUGAGGAUUUUGGAUCUAAUCUAGGCCAAUUUUUAAGAAAAUGUAUUUCUCAUACAUGUUAUCAUUUCUAUUACAUGUUUAAAAAAUUGACAAUUAUUUCACAAGAAUUUUUUUAGGCGAGAAUUUUUUUUAAUGUAUAUAAAAUGGAAAUUUUUUAAUAUGAAUAUAUUUUGAACGUCCAAUAAUGUAUGUUCUUAAAAAUCAUUUGUAUUACAUCCAUUAACAUUUAGAUAAAAUCAAGACAAAUCGAACAUCCAUUGGAUGUCUGGGAAACAAUGCGAUUCCAAUAUCGAGCAUUUAAAUGCGCAUGUGUUAGCCAAGCGCGAGGAAAAAAUAAAGAUUACGAGAUUGAUAAUUUGAAGAGAAUCCACCAAUCCCUUAUAUGUAUUAUACUUUGUGUCACAUAUCUCGAGAUGAGACAAUAAUAAUUCGCGAUAUUGUAAUUCAGCUCCAUUUAAGUACUUCAUAAAAGUAAUCGGAGAUUGCGAGCAUCGCGUAGGAAAGAGUUAAGAAUAUUUUAUACGCGCUGGACGCGAAUUUCCUGGAGACUUCACGAAGAAUAAUUCAACAAAAAAAGAAAAAAUACCGGAUGUGAAAUAUUAAUUAAUAUUAGAACGUUUAAAUUCAUAAAUAAUUGAAGACAAGAGAAGAAGUAUAUGUAUAUUGAUUUUCACAACUUAAGACUCCGAGAAAUCAGAUAUAAGAAUUCUGUAUAAAAUUUAUUUAUGAAAUAAUUCAAAAUAAAUUUAUAUAUACAGUAGUGGCAGACAAAAUAGGUACACUUGCUCUUGUCAUUGCUUUUUAAUUGUCAAAAAUUUUUAUUUGUAAAAUUUUUAAUUGUAAGAAAUUUUUUUUAUAUAUAAAUACACUUUUAACAUGCCGUUGUCGAAGUAAAAAGUAUUUUAUUUAAGCGUGCGUUUACAAAUUAAAAAAUCAAUGACAAGAUCUAGUGUGGCUAUUUUUUCUACUACCGCUGUAUAUACAAUACAUAUAUAUAUAUCUUAUGUUCCACAAAAUUCGUACAGUAAAAUGCACAAUGCGAUUCUCUAAAUCAGAAGAAACUUUAUCUUCAAAUAAAAUUGUAUUAAAAUUUUAAAAUAAAUCCGUAACUUUUGCCAAAGGAAAAAGUUACUUCUACUACGUAGGGAAUCGCAACGUACAUUCCACACACGCGAAUUCUGGGACGCUUUGUAAUUAUUAAAAUAAUUGCACAUUAAAUGUAAAAUCCGAAGUAAAUUUUUUUCCAUGGAAUUCAGAUGAGUUACAUUAUCAAAAUCGGCUUGACAAAUGGAAACAAGAUACAUAGCAAAAUCAAAUGGUUUUAGUUAUUCUAGUUGUAAUUUUUCGCGUUACAUAUUUAUAUGCAUGCAGUUGUGUGUGUGCAAAAAAUUUUACUUUUUUUCUUAAAUAAAAAUUAAAAAAUUAUUGAAACGUAUAUAUAAAUAUCUUAUAAAUUUCAAAUUAAGAUUCUUAACUAAUAAUUAACCCCUAAGUAGUCGCGCUGGCGCAUAGAAUAAAACUGUAAAAAUAACUCGUGAGAUCUGAGCACUCGUCCUCCACCUUAGUGAAUUUUUUUAUUCAAAAGCAGGGUUCACAAUUUGUCCAACGUCCACGACGAUCCGCUAUCCAAUAGGAGGAAUUUUUGCAUAGCAACAUUUUUGUCUCCAGAAAAUGUAUUCUUUUAUUGGAUAUUGGACGUCAUACCUCAGAUUUCGAAUACAGCAUGAAUACUGCACAAUAGUGGUUUUCUUUUGCUCGUAACGGUGGACGAUCUCAUGCCGGCAAAGCAACCAGACCUGUUCGUCAAGUCUUUAGAGGUGAUUGGUUAGAUCCACAGGUAAGAACCAAUCACGUUAAAUUGCUCGGCGGACAGGUUUUUACCUGCUUUACUAGUCUGAAAUUCGUCUAGAAUUUCUGUAUUACCUUCUCAUAACAGCGACAUUAAUACAUUCCUUUUUAAGCUCUCACGAUUGGCGCAUUCUAUGUGCCGUGCAAAUUAUACAAGUGUUUUUUCUUGCUUUAUAUUUUUGUAUUGUGUUUAUUACAUUAUGCUACAGAUAAUUGGUUUUAUAAACAAAUUUAAUAUAUUUUUGUAAGGUGCAUUAAUAAUUAAAAUAAUUGAAUCGUAAAAUUGCAUAGAUUUAUCAUAUAAGACACUUUCUAAAAUUGUUUUCUAAUAUAUAUAUAUAUAACAUUAUUGAAAUAUAAUUUUAACACUUUUAAAAAGCUCUUUGAUAGCUUAUAAAUAUAUAAAUAUAAAUAUUUACUAUUAUUCAAUAAUCUUUUUAUUUUCUAGAUUUUAUUUAAAAAGAUUUAUGUUUAUACAUAAUGUUGUUGUGUAAGUUUUAUUUAGUUUUAAUACUUAAUAAUCUUGUCAAUAUGUAAUAAUACAAUAAAGAAAUUAUUCUAUACACCCAGGACAAAAAUUCUUAUUCUGACCGCAUAUAUGUGACAACAACACUUAUAUAGAAGAUUAUAAAGCUUCAUAUGUAUUUUUAUAUCAUGAUUCAUUAUUUAAAAUUUAACUCUAAAACUGUUUAAAAAAAAUGGCCAAAAUCAAAUUGUUGUAUUAUUACAGGACAAAAAAAUAUUUAUAUAUAUGUAUAUAUAUAAUAUUUGAACGUAAUCUAUAAUGAGGACAUCUUUUAGAUUAAAUUUUUUUUUAAAUAUACUUUUUUAAAAAAGAAUAAAGCGUUGAAUAAUUUUUAAAAACAUGAAAUUUUGACAACACAAAGAGUUAGAGUAACUAAAACUAUUUGUUUUUAUCUUUAUCCAUAUCUCAAGCCGUUUAGCAAUAAUACAAUCCGUGAAAAUUCUGUGGAACAUUUUGUAAAUAAAUUUUGUAUAAUUUUAUAUUAGUCAUUUUCAACCCUUUAAAUUUUUAAAUUGUUUUAAAAGCAUUGAAGAACAAGAUAUUCUAAUAUUAAACAAUAUACUAAUCGGGUUAUUGUUGCUGUACCGUUAAUGCGAGAUAUCUUCUCUCGAAUGUAACACUAUGUAAAUACUGUAGACGUAAUUAUUCUAAUUAAUUAACAUAAUAUGUAUAUAUAGUAGCACUUACAUCGAUCCGUAAAGACUGACCGGUGCUUGUGCCAAUCGACCAAAGAAAUUUGCGAUCUUUUUAUCGAAGAAUUAGUAUUAUAUUUUUAAUCGCUUAUUUAAGUGCAAGUAUCCAGUAUAAGAAAAGUGAAUACUGUAUAUAUCUGAAUGCGUAGCGUAAAACCCUAUGUACUUUGACCAUCGCGAGAUAUUUUAUUACAGAUAGAGAUUAUCAUGUCACAGAUCGUGCUGUGUAUAAACACAUGCAUGUGUAAUCAGCAUCAAAAUAUGAAAACCUGAGACGUAACUUCUUUUUCUAAUAUGUCUCUCAAAACACGAGAAAACAAUGUCUCUCGGUUAUCUUAAUGCCGAUUAUACACGCAUGACGCAUAUCUAAUUAUUUGUAUCAAUGUAAAGAGUGUGAAAUUUCGUAGCGAGAAUCACGGCAAUGCCCGUGUCAAGCAUUGUAAAUAUUGUAAAAGUAUAAUACUACAUACGUACAUACACAAGAAAGUAUAUCAUAUUUUCUUCUGAAAAAA
rnacentral:misc_RNA from 1 species